AUUGAACGCUGGCGGCAGGCCUAACACAUGCAAGUCGAGCGAGCGGCGGACGGGUGAGUAAUGUCUGGGAAAAUGCCUGAUGGAGGGGGAUAACUACUGGAAACGGUAGCUAAUACCGCAUACCAUCAGAUGUGGCGAGAUGGGAUUAGCUGGUAGGUGGGGUAACGGCUCACCUAGGCGACGAUCCCUAGCUGGUCUGAGAGGAUGACCAGCCACACUGGAACUUAGACCCGGUCCAGACUCCUACGGGAGGCAGCAGUGGGGAAUAUUGCACAAUGGGCGCAAGCCGGAUGCAGCCAUGCCGCGGGUGUGAAGAAGGCCUUCGGGUUGUAAAGCACUUUCAGCGGGGAGGCGUUACCCGCAGAAGAAGCACCGGCUAACUCCGUGCCAGCAGCCGCGGUAAUUC
rnacentral:rRNA from 1 species